rnacentral:tRNA from 1 species
GUCAGGGUGGCCAAGCAGUCUAAGGCACUGCGUUCAGGUCGCAGUCUCCCCCAGAGGCAUGGGUUCAAAUCCCACCCCUGACA